AUUGAACGCUGGCGGAAUGCUUUACACAUGCAAGUCGAACGGCAGCACGGGGCAACCUGGUGGCGAGUGGCGAACGGUGAGUAAUACAUCGGAACGUGCCCAAUCGUGGGGGAUAACGUAGCGAAAGUUACGCUAAUACCGCAUACGAUCUACGGAUGAAAGCGGGGGAUCGCAAGACCUCGCGCGAAUGGAGCGGCCGAUGUCAGAUUAGGUAGUUGGUGGGGUAAAGGCUCACCAAGCCGACGAUCUGUAGCUGGUCUGAGAGGACGACCAGCCACACUGGGACUGAGACACGGCCCAGACUCCUACGGGAGGCAGCAGUGGGAAAUUUUGGACAAUGGGCGCAAGCCUGAUCCAGCCAUUCCGCGUGCAGGAUGAAGGCCUUCGGUUGUAAACUGCUUUGUACGGAACGAAACGGUUACGUCUCUAAUACAGGGGCGUAAU
rnacentral:rRNA from 1 species